rnacentral:rRNA from 1 species
UACAGAGGUCCCAAGCGUUGUUCGGAUUUACUGGGCGUAAAGGGUGCGUAGGUGGCGGGGUAAGUCUGGUGUGAAAGCUCCGAGCUCAACUCGGAAAAGCAUUGGAAACUAUCCCGCUGGAGGGUCGGAGGGGAGACUGGAAUUCUCGGUGUAGCAGUGAAAUGCGUAGAUAUCGGAAGGAACACCAGUGGCGAAGGCGGCUACCUGGAUUGAUACUGACACUGAGGCGCGAAAGCGUGGGGAGCAAACAGG